rnacentral:rRNA from 1 species
UACAGAGGUCUCAAGCGUUGUUCGGAUUCAUUGGGCGUAAAGGGUGUGUAGGUGGCGCCCGUAAGUCGGGUGUGAAAUUUCGGAGCUUAACUCCGAAACUGCAUUCGAUACUGCGGUGCUUGAGGACUGGAGAGGAGACUGGAAUUCAUGGUGUAGCAGUGAAAUGCGUAGAGAUCAUGAGGAAGACCAGUGGCGAAGGCGGGUCUCUGGACAGUUCCUGACACUGAGACACGAAGGCCAGGGGAGCAAACGGGG